ACAAAUGAUGCUGCACGGAGCCG
rnacentral:siRNA from 1 species